rnacentral:rRNA from 1 species
AUGAAAAAAAAGAAAGCAUUGCCUUCUUUACUAUAUCUUGUAUUUAUCGUACUUUUGCCUUGGGGGGUCUCUUCCUCAUUUAACAAAUGUCUGGAACUUUGGAUUAAGAAUUGGUGGAAUACCAGGCAAUCCGAAACUCUCUUAACUGAUAUUCAAGAGAAAAGGAUUCUAGAAAGAUUCAUAGAAUUAGAAGAACUUUCUCUCUUGGACGAGAUGAUAAAAGGGAAACUAAAGAUACAUGUACAAAAACCUCCUACAGGAAUACACAAGGAAAUAAUACAAUGGGUCAAAAUAAAUAAUGAGGAUCAUCUCCAUACCAUUUUGCAUUUCUCGACAAAUAUAAUCUGUUUGGCUAUUCUAAGUGGUUCUUUUUUCUGGGUAAAGAGGAACUUGUCAUUUUGA